UGAGGAAUAUUGGUCAAUGGACGUAAGUCUGAACCAGCCAAGUCGCGUGAGGGAAGACUGCCCUAUGGGUUGUAAACCUCUUUUAUAAGGGAAGAAUAAGUUCUACGUGUAGAAUGAUGCCUGUACCUUAUGAAUAAGCAUCGGCUAACUCCGUGCCAGCAGCCGCGGUAAUACGGAGGAUGCGAGCGUUAUCCGGAUUUAUUGGGUUUAAAGGGUGCGUAGGCGGUUUAUUAAGUUAGUGGUUAAAUAUUUGAGCUAAACUCAAUUGUGCCAUUAAUACUGGUAAACUGGAGUACAGACGAGGUAGGCGGAAUAAGUUAAGUAGCGGUGAAAUGCAUAGAUAUAACUUAGAACUCCGAUAGCGAAGGCAGCUUACCAGACUGUAACUGACGCUGAUGCACGAGAGCGUGGGUAGCGAACA
rnacentral:rRNA from 1 species